rnacentral:rRNA from 1 species
UACGUAGGUGGCAAGCGUUGUCCGGAAUUAUUGGGCGUAAAGCGCUCGCAGGCGGUCUUUUAAGUCUGAUGUGAAAUCUUGCGGCUUAACCGUAAGCGGUCAUUGGAAACUGGAGGACUUGAGUACAGAAGAGGAGAGUGGAAUUCCACGUGUAGCGGUGAAAUGCGUAGAGAUGUGGAGGAACACCAGUGGCGAAGGCGACUCCCUGGUCUGUAACUGACGCUGAGGAGCGAAAGCGUGGGGAGCAAAC